GGAGCGGUGGCGGAGUGGUCGAACGCGCCGGUUUCGAAAACCGGAGGCCCUCACGGGGCCCGCGGGUUCGAAUCCCGCCCGCUCCGCCA
rnacentral:tRNA from 1 species